rnacentral:lncRNA from 1 species
UGAAUUAUAUGAAAUCCCUCUCUUGAUGUGAAUUUGUUUUGAAUGUGCAAUGAUGUAAAUUGUUUGAAAACAUCUUGAAAAGCAUGACAUGAAAUGUUUUGAGAAUUGAUAUGAUUUUGACUUGAAAAUGAGAGGGUUAUUUGUGUUGAAACAUGUUGAAUACAAUGGUUGAAUGAGAAGAAUAAUGUGAUAUUGAUGGCUUGCAAGUCGGGUAUGACGAUACCCUACAGAAUAUGAUAUGUGAUUGAAUUAGAUGAAAUUUGAAUGCAUUGAUUUUACAUGAGAUAGGUGGAUGCCCGAAGAAGGCUUUUGAGUGUAAGGGCUCAUCGCUGGAAAACUGUGUUUGCCAAUACGGGAAUUUGGUACCAGGAUAAGUGAUCUUGAGUACUUGACUUUAUGUCAUUCCCAAAUUGGG